UACGUAGGGGGCAAGCGUUGUCCGGAUUUAUUGGGCGUAAAGAGCGUGUAGGCGGCCGUACAGGUCAGCUGUGAAAACUCGAGGCUCAACCUCGAGACGUCGGUUGAAACCGUACGGCCAGAGUCCGGAAGAGGAGAGUGGAAUUCCCGGUGUAGCGGUGAAAUGCGCAGAUAUCGGGAAGAACACCCGUGGCGAAGGCGGCUCUCUGGGACGGUACUGACGCUGAGACGCGAAAGCGUGGGGAGCGAACAGG
rnacentral:rRNA from 1 species